GCCGGCAGCGGGACGUUCGUGCUCGCCAAGGCGUUCGCGGCGGGGGUCAUCCUCGCCACCGGGUUCGUGCACAUGCUGCACGACGCUGAGGAGAAGUUGUCCGACCCGUGCCUCCCGGCCAUGCCCUGGCGCCGGUUCCCCUUCCCGGGCUUCAUCGCCAUGCUCGCCGCGCUGGGGACGCUCGUCAUGGAGUUCGUCGGCACCCGCUUCUACGAGCGCAGGCACGGCGAGGAGGCUGCCGCGGCGGCCACAGCUGGGCAUGACGACACGACGGCUCUGCUCGAGGACGGCGCGCUCGCAGGUGUCGCUGCCACCGGGAUGAGCGGCGGCGACGACAAGCAUGACGCGAUGCACAUCGUUGGGAUGCGCGCCCACGCGGCUGCGCACCAGCAUAGCCAUGCGCAUGGCCAUGACGCGUGCGAUGGAGGAGCCGUGUACGACGCCCACGCCCACGGGAGCGAGGAGAGGCCGUCCCAAGCUCGUCAUGUGGUUGUCUCGCAGAUUCUGGAAAUGGGGAUUGUAUCGCAUUCGGUGAUCAUCGGGCUCUCUUUGGGCGUUUCGCAGAGCCCAUGUACCAUCAAACCUCUUGUUGCUGCUCUCUCCUUCCACCAGUUCUUCGAGGGUUUUGCCUUGGGUGGCUGCAUUUCUGAGGCUCAGUUCAAGAAUUUCUCUGCACUCCUGAUGGCUUUCUUCUUUGCUAUCACAACACCUGUUGGGAUUGCCUUGGGGGCGGGGGUCGCGUCGUUCUACAGCGCCAGCAGCCCCAGGGCAUUCGUGGUGGAGGGCAUCCUUGAUUCAAUGUCGUUCGGAAUACCGAUCUAUAUAGCAUUAGUGGAUCUCGUUGCUGCUGAUUUCCUUAGCCGGAGGAUGAGCUGCAAUCCGAGGCUACAAGUGUGCUCAUAUGUUGCCUUGCUUGUUGGGGCUGUUGCCAUGUCAGCACUUGCUAUCUGGGCUUAG
rnacentral:rRNA from 1 species